UAGGGAAUCUUCGGCAAUGGACGAAAGUCUGACCGAGCAACGCCGCGUGAGUGAAGAAGGUUUUCGGAUCGUAAAACUCUGUUGUUAGAGAAGAACAAGGACGUUAGUAACUGAACGUCCCCUGACGGUAUCUAACCAGAAAGCCACGGCUAACUACGUGCCAGCAGCCGCGGUAAUACGUAGGUGGCAAGCGUUGUCCGGAUUUAUUGGGCGUAAAGCGAGCGCAGGCGGUUUCUUAAGUCUGAUGUGAAAGCCCCCGGCUCAACCGGGGAGGGUCGUUGGAAGCUGGGAGACUUGAGUGCAGAAGAGGAGAGUGGAAUUCCAUGUGUAGCGAUGAGAUGCGUAGAUAUAUGGAGGAACACCAGUGGCGAAGGCGGCUCUCUGGUCUGUAACUGACGCUGAGGCUCGAAAGCGUGGGGAGCAAACAGG
rnacentral:rRNA from 1 species